UUAGGCGAUGGGUAGGCAAAUCCGCCCGUCAUAUACCGAGGCCAACGAUCGAGCCAGCUUGCUGGUGAAGUGACUGAACGAGGUUCCAGGAAAAGCCACUAAGCUUCAGCUACACACGACCGUACCGCAAACCGACACUGGUGCGCGAGAUGAGUAUUCUAAGGCGCUUGAGAGAACUCAGGAGAAGGAACUCGGCAAAUUGACACCGUAACUUCGGAAGAAGGUGUGCCCUAUUAGUGUGAAGUGAACAACGGAGCAUGAAUGGGUUGCAAAAAAUCGGUGGCUGCGACUGUUUAUUAAAAACACAGCACUCUGCAAACACGAAAGUGGACGUAUAGGGUGUGACGCCUGCCCGGUGCUGGAAGAUUAAAUGAUGGGGUGCAAGCUCUUGAUUGAAGUCCCAGUAAACGGCGGCCGUAACUAUAACGGUCCUAAGGUAGCGAAAUUCCUUGUCGGGUAAGUUCCGACCUGCACGAAUGGCGUAACGAUGGCCACACUGUCUCCUCCUGAGACUCAGCGAAGUUGAAAUGUUUGUGAUGAUGCAAUCUCCCCGCGGAAAGACGGAAAGACCCCAUGAACCUUUACUGUAGCUUUGUAUUGGACUUUGAACAGAUCUGUGUAGGAUAGGUGGGAGGCUUUGAAGCAGGGUCGCUAGAUCUUGUGGAGCCAACGUUGAAAUACCACCCUGGUGUGUUUGAGGUUCUAACCUAGGUCCAUUAUCUGGAUCGGGGACAGUGCAUGGUAGGCAGUUUGACUGGGGCGGUCUCCUCCCAAAGCGUAACGGAGGAGUUCGAAGGUACGCUAGUUACGGUCGGACAUCGUGACGAUAGUGCAAUGGCAUAAGCGUGCUUAACUGCGAGACUGACAAGUCGAGCAGAUGCGAAAGCAGGACAUAGUGAUCCGGUGGUUCUGUAUGGAAGGGCCAUCGCUCAACGGAUAAAAGGUACUCUGGGGAUAACAGGCUGAUACCGCCCAAGAGUUCAUAUCGACGGCGGUGUUUGGCACCUCGAUGUCGGCUCAUCUCAUCCUGGGGCUGUAGCCGGUCCCAAGGGUAUGGCUGUUCGCCAUUUAAAGAGGUACGUGAGCUGGGUUUAAAACGUCGUGAGACAGUUUGGUCCCUAUCUUCCGUGGGCGCUGCAGAUUUGAGGAAGCCUGCUCCUAGUACGAGAGGACCGGAGUGGACACACCUCUGGUGUAUCGGUUGUCACGCCAGUGGCAUUGCCGAGUAGCUAAGUGUGGAAGAGAUAACCGCUGAAAGCAUCUAAGCGGGAAACUCGUUUCAAGAUGAGAUCUGCCGGGGCCUCGAGCCCCCUGAAGAGUCGUUCAAGACCAGGACGUUGAUAGGUCGGGUGUGGAAGCGCAGUAAUGCGUUAAGCUAACCGAUACUAAUUGCUCGUGCGGCUUGACCU
rnacentral:rRNA from 1 species